AGUGAACGCUGGCGGUGGGCCUAACACAUGCAAGUCGAACGGAAGCACAGUAAGCGCUUGCUCCUACGGUUGGCGAGUGGCGGAUGGGUGAGGAAUACAUCGGCCUCUACUUUUUCGUGGGUGAUAACGUCGGGAAACUUUCCCUAAUACCGCAUACUACCUACUGGUGAAAGCAGGGGAUCUUCGGCCCUUGCGCGUUUGAUUGAGCCGAUGUCGGAUUAGCUUGUUGGCGGGGUAAAGGCCCACCAAGGCGACGAUCCGUAGCUGGUCUGAGAGGAUGAUCAGCGACACUGGAACUGAGACGCGGUCCAGACUCCGACGGGAGGCAGCAGUGGGGAAUAUUGGACAAUGGGCGGAAGCCUGAUCCAGCCAUGCCGCGUGGGUGAAGAAGGCCUUCGGGUUGUAAAGCCCUUUUGUUGGGGAAGAAAAGCAGCAGGUAAAUACACGGCUGUUCUGACGGUAGCCAAUGAAUAAGCACCGGCUAACUUCGUG
rnacentral:rRNA from 1 species